UUUUGUUGAGUCAACAUGCCUUUUAUAACCCCCUUUUCACUUCUUUAUUCCUUUAUGAUCCACUUUUCACUCCCCUUGUCCCCAAACCUACAAUUUCUUCCCCAUAGACUACCUUGGUCAACCACUACACCUAGGCACCCACUCCAUUUCAUUUUUUCUCCUUCUUGCUCUCUUCCUCUCCUUUAGCUCCCCCUCCUCAUUGCUCCUCUUAUUUUCUUCUAUUUUCUUUUGUUUCACCACCAUUUCUUCUCCUUACUCAUCCUUUCAUCCACCAAUAAAGGCCACCGAACGUUUACCUCACCACCACCGGAC
rnacentral:lncRNA from 1 species